UUCACAAAGAGUAAAGUGUAGUUCCUCAAGGGACACCAAAGGUACUUGUUUUUCCCAGUGUCAGAAUUUUUAUGGCAGGCUGAAAGCAACUGCUAACUUUCUGAGGCCGGCCCGGCACUGCUGCUGCAUGGGUUAUCCUUGUCAUUCAGCCAGAGUCACCCUCCUAGAGGAUGGGCUUCUGCAGCAGCUCCCUCUGAAAGGCCUGAUGAGCUGUAGAAAAAUUGCCAAUAUCCAAGGACAUCCGUGUGCUGUGCUAGAAGCCAUAUGCUGUGGUUGUCUCUGUGCAACAGUUCACUGUCCCUUUAUAGCCCUUUGUGCUUUAAGAAAUCUGUUGUCAUGGGCUUCUUCUCUCAACUACCCUGAGCUUUCUGCCAAAGCUGUCCCUGCUCUUGACUCUAGGCCAUGGCUUCUUGCCCAUCUAGCAAACUUCUUAAACAGCUCCUGAUUUUCAGGAGGUUUUUUUUUCUGCCUUUUAUUCAUCCUCUGGUCAAAUUCUCUUUAAUGUUCAUUAAGGAUGAGAAGUUUGUUUCUGUGAAGCUCCAAAUAUAAAUAUUACUAGUUAGAACUGUCUUUUGUCCAUAAUGAAUGUAAGAAGAUCACAUAAGCCUUGAUCAACAAUUUGUAGUCCUAGUAUUAAUGUUAGAAUGAGUCUCCAAAAGGAGAUUGCUGUCACAUGCAAUCUCCUUUCGUGGAAAGAAAAAAAGUUCAAUCUCUAAAACUUGUAAUGUUUUACUACCAGUUGCAUGAGAUCUUCCAAACUUGAGUUCUCUAUAAAAAUGCAAUUUUUAUCCUUCAGUGCAGACAGAUGCUUUAGGAAUAAUUCAUCCUACUUUCUGGUUUGAUUUAGUGUUUUGUAGCAGAUCUCAUCACUUCAUUACUCCUCACUCCCCAACUCCUUUCUGGAGUUUAUAAUUUGCAUGUUUUCACACUCCUCCAGUUUCUGAUCAUUGUAAAGGGGGUAGUGCAGGGUGCCCUCCCUCCCCCUCAGUCCUUCCUACAAGAACUACGCACUGAUUUCAAAGACUCCAUUCACAUGAAUCACCCUGUUAAUGCUCUGCAAUGACAGCUACAUCAGACUUCCUCUCAUCAGUGAGAAUUUCCGAGUCCUUUAGCACAAUAACUACCCAGCUAUUAUUUACACAUGAGCUAUUCACUUGCUCUUCUUCCCAGCUAGCUCCUGCACUGCUCAAAAUAAAUGUGACUUCCUAAGGCUGAACUACAUUUUGCUUCCUAGUAUCCUUCAUCUUUCACUCCCUCCUAGCUGCUCUCCUGUUCAGACUAUCCCUUUCCUCUCUCUUGUUAUGUUUUCUUGUCUGGAGGGGAAAACACUGCAGCCCUGAGGCUUGAAGGGCUGCUGUGGGAGAACAGCUCCACAGCUGGCAGGGAAGAGUUGCCUGUGUCCCCACUUUAAAGUUUUUGGGAGGUUUCCUGCCAGCAAAGCUGGUGCAUACUCUGUUUGCCAGUGCAGGGCAUUGCCUAUAGAUGUGCUUUCCUGCUGAGGCUGAAUGUUGUGCAUGGCACACCUGGCUAUGCUGGGCUACUCCACUGAGUAAAGCCCUGGGAGUGCAGUGUGGCUCUCUGUAUCCUCGGGAGAGGCUCCAGACCCAGAGGUCAGACUCUGACUUUCAUUAGGCAGUGAAUGGGAAGAAAGUGAAUGUCUCAGCUGGUUGCAGCAGCUUGUCCAUCACGUCCUGGGACCCAGAGUCCUCCCUGCUACUCUGGGCUGCCAGCAGCUACCUCUGAGGCUGCCAGCACCAGCACUCUGCUCUACUUCCAGUCUUUGUAGUUUCUGCUCACGAGCCCAUGGGGGAAUUAAGCCCUAAUACAGCACUGCCCAGGGCUAAGCAGCAUGAUGCAAAAUUAUCAAUUUGCAAAUACACAUUCAGCUAGAAACCACUUGGGGUUGGAAGCAUCCCCUGGGAAACUGUGGAGAGUGUGUAAAGCUUACAUCCUGCAUAAGCAAGCGAUGGCAGAGCUUGCAGGGAGCCUCAAGGCAGCUGAGUAGAGAGGGAUCAGGGACUAAUCAUUAGAGGGAAAAACAGUAGGACAGACCAGUGCAGAAGACCAUGGAAUUCAGUCAACCAACCCAGUUUUGGGAGAAAAAGUCUUUCCUUUCCUCACAUCCUUCCACUUCUGCUGCUGUCUGCACAAAAGAGAUCAAAAAGGCUGCCACCUCAGCAGAGGCGCAUUGAACCUACAGUGUUUAAAUUUUGCAGUUUGUGAAUCCCAGAGGAUUUGUGACAUAUGUGCCUGCGAUUUAGCCCGAGCAGCACAAGCAGAGCAAGAAUAAACAUAGCAGCAUGACAGGCAUCUGGCACCUCACAAAAAAAAGAAAAAUAUAAGCAAAAGAUCAAGACUCCUGCUGAUGGAGCUUUUGGAAACCACUGGAGCACUAACCUCUGGCUCUCUCAGAUUCUGAAAAUGCUGCAGCUGGUGAUUUUAAACUUUCUAUUUGCUAUCAAAGUUGCUGAGGCUGCAGAGUCAAUCUCUGCAAUGGUUACCAUCUUCAAGUCUGUCCCAGAUAUCAGUAAACAGGGAUUUUUGUCUUCUCUAUAUGCUUUUGAGAUGUUCUUAUUCCUCCCACAACCAUCAAAAGGCAGGGAAGGACAUAUUUCUGAAAUGCCCUCAUUGCCCACAGCCUCCCCAUCUGGUCAAAGAGAGGAAAAGCCACAGGAACACUAUUCUGCCUGCAUCCAGCUGACACUGAGUGGGGAGUGGCAUAAAGUGCCUUGUGGUGGGUGCCAUCACACCGGGGAUGAAGGUGCAAGACAGGCCAGGCAGCCAGGAGCCAGGAGCGUGCUGCACAAUUUUGAAGGACCACGGGUCUGGGGUCCUGAUGACGCUUUCCAACCCUUGCUCAGCCUCAAAGCAAGGGUGCUGGGCUGGCAUUCACUGGUGGCUCUUCCUUUCACUCAUCUCUGCUUUGUAGAAGAUAGUGUCAACUUUUUCUCUGGAGUUUCACUUUGGGGAAAGAAGCACCAUUUUCCUAAAGCAGGCUGGAGGCGAAACACUAUUCCUGCAUUAAAGAGGAUAACUGUCUUCUAAUCACAUUCUUCCUGCAGAGCUGAUGAGCCAAGAGCUGGUGAAGCAAACGAAGACAUUUGUCGAAAAGUUCAAUCAUUCUCCGAUUAUCACAUUUCUUGAUGCUUCCCUCAAAGCCUCAGGCAUGGAGUAGCUGGAACAGCUGAAUCUCCAUCCUGGCAGUCCUUCUGUCCACUCAGUUCUACAAGCACACAUCACCUAAGUAUCCCAGGUCUUAUGUGUUCUCCCAUGCAGCCUUGUUCUUCUUGGGCUUUUUCCCAUUAUUUAAUGAAUCUUGGAUUUGACAACUAUUAUCUCUAAACAGAAGUCAGUACAGACACAAAUCUGAUGUGGAGAAAGUAUCAAGAUAUUGUCAUAUUCAAUAAGAAAUAAAUGAAAUCUCUCAAGCCACUUUCAUGUCAUUAAUAUUGGAAAAUAUGUUAAUAGCAAGAAUUUAUAUGAUGAUUUUGCUGCAUUUUCAAGUCAUUCUAUCUCUCUAACAUUAAGCUGACAUGGCACCAUAAAAGUUACCACACUGAAAAAUUCCAAUCUCAUUUUACAUAGUGUUUCACAGUGUCUCUGGUUCAUUUCUGUGUUAGGUGAUGAUGUGCUACAGAUGAUGAUGUGCCAAGAAAAUCUUCCUACUGCCUCCUAGAAUAUUGAUACUGGGACAUAAAUAUCUCAAAGCCACUUUAAUUUUUGCAUUUCCACAGGAAAUACACUUCUCAUAUCCAAAAACCUCUCAAAAAAUAAGCUUUAAAUGCCCUCCUUCUUUCUGUCCUGAAGUUACCCCCAAGUUUUACUUGUGGAAGUAUUGUUCUUCAGUGUUUUCUGAUCUUCCUUAAUUUCAUUUUUUUUCCUGACAGCUGACUGUGUGCUUCUGUGUGGAGAGCAUUUUAGAACUGUCUUCUUUGAUGACAAGGAGAAAAUUACUAGUUUGUCUGACUUAACACAAAUAGUGGGGAAAAUGCUACACUUUUAAUUCAGGAGAAGUCCUGUUGACUUCCAUAAGAGGUUUGCUAAAAUGUUAAAUUAAAGGUACCAUUUCUAGAAUUCUGCUUAAUCUGAGCCACCACAACAUACUUGACAUAAAAGUUUGAUGCUGAAGACUUAAACCUGCAUGAUUAACUUCAAACAAAUGCACAGUUAAUUCAGGAGCCCUUUAAAACCUGAAGGAGUACACUGGAACAACUCUAAUUGUGAUUUGUGCCAAUAUGUAAUCUAUCCUGAGUCAAGGCCCAAUAUAAAAUAUCCCAUUUUUAUCCAGAGAUGCAAACAUUGAUGUUUUUGAAAGAGAAAAAAAAGUCAUUUGAAUCUUUUGUUAUUCCAUUAGCACAGAGUAUUCCUGUGUCCCUGACAAAGGGCUCCUAUCUGAUUUUGGGCAGGGCAUUUAGACUAAAAUGUUUAUAGAUGAUCACUAUUUACCUGUUCCACAUACUCAAAAUGUGUAAUGUGAAUUCCCUGGGCCAGAUUUGGAUGCAUGGCUACAGCUGUAUUUUAGACCUGAAC